UACGUAGGGACCAAGCGUUGUCCGGAAUCAUUGGGCGUAAAGAGCGUGUAGGCGGCUUGUUAAGUCUUGCGUGAAAUCUCGGGGCUCAACCCCGAGCGGUCGUGAGAAACUGGCAGGCUAGAGUGCGGGAGAGGAGAGUGGAAUUCCUGGUGUAGCGGUGAAAUGCGCAGAUAUCGGGAGGAACACCAGCGGCGAAGGCGGCACUCUGGGCUGGUACUGACGCUCAGGAGCGAAAGCGUGGGUAGCGAACAGG
rnacentral:rRNA from 1 species